UGGGGGAUAUUGGUCAAUGGGGGAAACCCUGAACCAGCAAUGCCGCGUGAGGGAAGAAGGUCUUCGGAUUGUAAACCUAAGUAGUCAGGGACGAAGAAAGUGACGGUACCUGAAGAGUAAGCUCCGGCUAACUACGUGCCAGCAGCCGCGGUAAUACGUAGGGAGCGAGCGUUGUCCGGAUUUACUGGGUGUAAAGGGUGCGUAGGCGGGUCGGCAAGUCAGAUGUGAAAUACCGGGGCUUAACUCCGGGGCUGCAUUUGAAACUGUUGAUCUUGAGUGAAGUAGAGGCAGGCGGAAUUCCUAGUGUAGCGGUGAAAUGCGUAGAUAUUAGGAGGAACACCAGUGGCGAAGGCGGCCUGCUGGGCUUUAACUGACGCUGAGGCACGAAAGCAUGGGGAGCAAACAGG
rnacentral:rRNA from 1 species